ACUUGUUGGUGAGGUAAUGGCUCACCAAGGCGACGACGGGUAGCCGGCCUGAGAGGGUGACCGGCCACACUGGGACUGAGACACGGCCCAGACUCCUACGGGAGGCAGCAGUGGGGAAUAUUGCACAAUGGGCGAAAGCCUGAUGCAGCGACGCCGCGUGAGGGAUGACGGCCUUCGGGUUGUAAACCUCUUUCAGUAGGGAAGAAGCGAAAGUGACGGUACCUGCAGAAGAAGCGCCGGCUAACUACGUGCCAGCGGCCGCGGUAAUACGCAGGGCGCAAGCGUUAUCCGGAUUUAUUGGGCGUAAAGAGCUCGUAGGCGGUUUGUCGCGUCUGCCGUGAAAGUCCGAGGCUCAACCUCGGAUCUGCGGUGGGUACGGGCAGACUAGAGUGAUGUAGGGGAGACUGGAAUUCCUGGUGUAGCGGUGAAAUGCGCAGAUAUCAGGAGGAACACCGAUGGCGAAGGCAGGUCUCUGGGCAUCUACUGACGCUGAGGAGCGAAAGCAUGGGGAGCGAACAGGAUUAGAUACCCUGGUAGUCCAUGCCGUAAACGUUGGGCACUAGGUGUGGGGAACAUUCCACGUU
rnacentral:rRNA from 1 species